AGCGUUAAGUUAAUUAGACUCGG
rnacentral:snRNA from 1 species